rnacentral:rRNA from 1 species
AUUGAACGCUGGCGGCAUGCUUUACACAUGCAAGUCGAACGGAAGCGCGGGCUUCGGCCUGGCGGCGAGUGGCGCAAGGGUGUGUAAUGCAUCGGAACGUGCCCCGUUGUGGGGGAUAGCACGGCGAAAGCAGGAUUAAUACUGCCUACGACGUGAGGGUGAAAGCGGGGGACGGAAAGACCUCGCGCGAUUGUAGCGGCCGAUGUCGGAUUAGCUAGUUGGUGGGGUAAAGGGUUACCAAGGCGACGAUCCGUAGCUGGUCGGAGAGGACGACCAGCCACAUGAGGACGGGGACACGGCCCAGGCGCCUGCGAGAGGCAGCAGAGGGGUAUGUGGGACAAUGGUGGCAACCCUGAUCCAGCCAUGCGGCGUGCGAGAAGAAGGCCUUCGGGUUGGGAUCAGCUUUUGUGCGUGAAGAAACGCUCUGGGCUAAGACCCCGGGUGGAUGACGGUACCGGAAGAAUAAGCACCGGCUAACUACGUG